rnacentral:lncRNA from 1 species
UGCUGCCUCUGGUCUUAGACUUCAUAUAGUUGACGCUACAUUCUCUGAACCCUCCAAACUGCGCUUACAUUAACAAUGACAUUGUAACAAAAACAUUCUGGCACUCACUUAUUUUCACAUCUCCGGUAGAGGGGGCGCAAUGCUUUUUAUUAGAUACAGUAGAAAUUACUAUGCAAUGUUAAAGAGACAAAAACAUUUGACGCGGAUGUAGAGAGUGUGUAACCUGUAAAGAUAGCACCACCUCCCGAUCAUUUUGUUAGGCUGUGAUACCCUGGUAAUUUGUACAUACAUUUACCGAUUUCGGGGAGAAGUUGCUUCUUCAGAUUCACCAUCACUUCUGACGGGACCCUCCGGAGGAUAAUAAUCAAUUGAGUAUUGAUACACACCCAACUAAAAAGUAAUUUUACAGGGACGUCAAAAUGCUACGGAUUUACUUGUGCUUGAGUGUUGUUGUCAACGUGGCCGUCUCGCAGGAAGCUGAGGAACCCAUCUCAUACACGUGUACAGAUGGCUAUACAUUUGACAUGGAACGACAAGAAUGCAAAGGUAAGAGGUGCUUAUCCACACUUUGUCAAAUGUCCUUGUACGUUUCUGACUUAAUGAAUAGAUUGAUUAGUAGAGGAAUUGAAUAGCACUGUGGAAGAGAUAGGAUCAGUUCUAGCAGACACUGAUACAGUAUGUGUAUACC